UUUAUUCACCACUGUUGUUUAGCCGCUAUCCACCCUCCGUCUUGGCGAUCCGAUGUUUUUGAGAAUACACAAAAUAUGACGUAGUCAUGUGGUAUACUUCUAAGGUAGGAUCUGGCUGUUAUUUCUGGUAGAUUAAGAGGCUUGCUCGUUGGCUCGUGCAUUUCAUUCUAUCCGUAUUUGCUGUCGCUGUGGGUGUUUGUCGUUUAACCCAAGGCCAAUCAUGAUCUGACAGACGUUUGUUCAGCAGCUUUCCAGCCGUCUAUCUCGCUGUCUUUUUUAUGUUUACAUUAUCUAACGUGUCAGUUUCUUUUUUUUUUUUAGGAUGGUUAGAGUAUAUUAUAUGUGUGGGAAGGGGAAAUUUGGUUGAUAUUUCGGCUCGGUUAAUACCCGUGCAAAAAUAUUCAACUGAUUAAAUGGGUAUUCCGUAAGAAAAGCUUUGAUGUAGUACUUAAUCUAAGCUAUAACGUAAAUAAAGUUAUGGUACUCGUUCUUUCUCAGUGCUUCUGCACAAUAAGUGUAUGUGUUUUAUACACAUGUAUAUAUGUAUACAUGUGCAUAUUUAGUAGGUGGAAUCACAUUUUCUACGGAAUUCGGGAAAAGGAUAUGGGAGAUGGGCGCCUAUUUCGAAACACGCCCGCCACAUUUUCACCCUUAAAAAAAAAAAAAAAAUGAAGAGAACAUUCCAAGAUUUGUGAAAGUGACUUUAUGGUUUUCUAAGUAACGACGUUCUCAAUGUUGUCAAUUAAACGGAUAGCGACGGACCUAUACAUAAAUUGUACAAAUAUGUUUGGUUUGCACUUGUAUAAAUUAUAUUUUGUCUAUAUUUGUAAAUUCCAUAUUUAGUUUUUGACAGAAUUUGAAACUGAAACAAUACACGAUGCUUUUUCUUUCAAUAUUGAAUACAUAUUACUUUCUGUAAUACAACUGCUAUUUCAAAAGAAGAUCGACAGACCACGUAUUAAGUUCCAUUGCUAGCAACCUCUGACUGACUCGUUAUGUUUAUAAGCAUGUGUGUACGAGCGCGCGCACGUGUAUAUGCGAACGUACGUGUUAAAUAAAAUAGCUAUGUCCGAUUACGCGUAGGUAGAAAAUAAAUGAGUACAUCAUGUACUCUAAUAGAAUUUGACAAAUAGUAAUCCAUUAAUUAAUAUGAAUAAUGUUCGGCUAUCGGAUAACACCCAAGCAGGAAUCCAAGAAGACACACGAAAAAAUAAAAUCCAAGGAAAAUAAUCACGAAAAACAGAAGUUAGGAAAAAAAAACAUGACAGAAAAAGUCACAGGAAAAAAAAAGUCGUUUAUGUUUUGUUUCAUUGAUUGCGACCGAAUAAAGUGGGUUUUCGUUUCCUUUUA